UACAGAGGUGGCAAGCGUUGUUCGGAAUUAUUGGGCGUAAAGGGCGCGUAGGCGGCUUUGCAAGUGGCGGGUGAAAUCCCUCGGCUUAACCGAGGAACUGCCUGUCAAACUGCAUGGCUUGAGACCAGGAGAGGUGAGUGGAAUUCCCAGUGUAGCGGUGAAAUGCGUAGAUAUUGGGAGGAACACCAGUGGCGAAGGCGGCUCACUGGACUGGUACUGACGCUGAGGCGCGAAAGCGUGGGGAGCAAACAGG
rnacentral:rRNA from 1 species